UUUCAUUUCAUUUCAAAUUUCAAAAAACAACUUCCCUUCGCAGCUUCUCUCUCAUUUCUAAAUUUCUUCAUCUUUCUUCUCAACGGCAACUAUCUCCCUCCUCUUCCCCCCCUCUCCGCCUCCCCUUCUCUCUCGAUCUCUUGUCUCCUUCGUCUUCCUCAGAAUCUUCACUCUUCCUUUCUCUCAAUUUCUAUUCUCUAAAAUGAAGCAUCCACCCAAGAAACCCUAUCUUGCUAAAUACCCAUCUCGCCGAUCCACUGCCAUUUUCUAUUCCAUGCGCUAACGGCGCCGGAAUCAAGGGCGGAAGACCCCUCGGAAGCCUAUGUCGUCUUCCAAAGAAAAUGCUUCACCGUCAGAUCCCAAAUUCCCAACUCCAUGGUUCCCGAUUCCAAACCCUCGCCGACUAAGUUGAAGAGCCUGCUCCAUCUUCUAACCCACUUAAGCGGAAGCUCAGUAUGGAGACCGUUCCUGAGAAUUCCAUCCCUGGGUUGUCUGAUUCUGUUGUUAAGAUUAGAGAAGAUGUAAAAUCUGGUGUAGAAAAUUUAACAGAGGAGUGUGUAUCCACAAUGGCAGCCGUUACUCGGCUUCUAAUGAAGGUUUUUAUCUGCCUCGUGCUAAUAUGCGCACCUGAGUGCACCCCUAUCCCUGCAACCGUGUACUAAAAAGAAGUUGCAGUUGUCCAAAAUGUCUAUAUAUAAUUUGUAUGCCAUCCUUUAUAUUUUUAAUUUUGUAAUUUCGUAGAUUGGUUGAACUGACUUCAGUAUGCGGUUGAAAUCAUAAACUCAAGAUUAAUCAUCAAGUUUUGGACCUUGUUAAGUGAAAUUAGUUCUAUUACUAAAGCAUGAAAAAAGAUAAACUUUAAUAAAGAUUAGAAAAUGUUCGACACUUUAUAGUCUUGAUUUGUGUCAAAGACUACUUAAAGCAUGAAGUCUCUCAUCAUGAUAUUGUGAAAAAUUGCAUGCCUUUAGUAGUUCAUGGUCUCCACUGUUCUUCCUUUUCAUGGUUAACCUUUUAAAAUGAAUUGAAUACAAUUUUAAACACCAUCUUUAUAAUCUCAGAAUAAUUAUGCAGGGUUUAUCAGAAUAAUAUGUUUGUUUCUUCAGAUAUACUUAAUAUUUCAUUGAUUGCUCAUUCAUUUUGGUUUCCAUUUUUAGUCGGCUUCAUUCUUUGUGUUUUCUAAUUUCUAGCUCACUCAAUUCAGCCAUGGAAGUACGGAGAUAUUCCAAAUUUUAUAAUGCAAAACCUGAUGAAGCCGAUGAUGGUGUUUGCACAAGAGCUUGGAGAUUCUUUUUAUCUUACUUCACAAUUGACGUUCUUUCAGUUCUUCCACUCCCCCAGCCAUGCAGGGUUUACAGAAAGAUUUGAACUUUUCAUUUGUGGUCGUGAGCUGGCCAAUGCAUUUUUCGAAUUGAUCGAUCGUAUUUAUCAGAGGAUGAUUAGAAGACCAGAUCAGGCAACACAAUGAGAAGCAUGGCUCAGCUGUUUCUUAUGUAUCUCGUUUCUUAUGUAAUGACUCUUUGGACUUCAAUUGCCAAAAAGAUGAGGAUGAUUCUUAUGAAGUGACACUUGAUGAUGAUUUUCUUACUGCUUUGGAAUAUGGAAUGCCACCAGCUUCUGGACUGGAAUAAAGGAAAAAAUGGAGUAUAAUCGAAUUUGGAACCUUUGCAAGCAAGGGGAAGUUUUCUGUUCCCUAUCUCUUUUUUCGAUCCUUACAAUCUUGCUUAAAAUGCUUUGAAGACAAAUUAAAGUUUUAAGUGGGGGGUAGGGUUGUAGCUUUGCAUGUUCUAUGUCCUUUGGGAAAUUUUCAUUUUGCCAAAAAUGUUCAAAUUUUAAACUUUUUCAAUGUCUUUAUUCUUAAAAUAAAUACUAUGUCUAAUUUGCUUUCUAGUUUAGACAAGCAUGUCUGCCUAACCCUUGAGCAUGGAGCUCGGGUUUGUGAUUGUGUUUGUCAUUUGAAUAUCUUAAAUAUGUUGAAAAUGCAUUCUUUGAUAGCUUAGAAAUGCGUAGAAGACAUGCUAUUCAUUUUCUAAAUAUUGUAAAUACUGUACAUACUUAAUAAUGUGUUGAAAACAUGUGCUGUUGAAAACAUGGCCUAACCAAAACCAGAUCUGCCUAGCCCUUAGAGUCCAGCCGGUUAGGUCAAGUAGAAUGCGUUGAGCUCCCUCAGUAUCAGAGCUUGUGUGGGGAACUCUUCACUUUUGGCCUAACCAAAACCAGACCUUCCUAGCCUUUAAAACCCAACCGGUUAGGUGAAGUAGAAUGCGUUGAGCUCCCUCAGUAUCAGAGCUUGUGUGGGGAACUCUUCACUUUUCGCCUAACCAAAACCAGACCUGCCUAGCCCUUAGAGUCCAGCCAGUUAGGUCAAGUAGAAUGCGUUGAGCUCCCUCAGUAUCAGAGCUUGUGUGGGGAAAUCUUCACUUUUGGCCUAACCAAAACCAGACCUGCCUAGCCCUUAGAGUCCAGCCGGUUAGGUCAAGUAGAAUGCGUUGAGCUCCCUCAGUAUCAGAGCUUGUGUGGGGAACUCUUCACUUUUGGCCUAACCAAAACCAGACCUUCCUAGCCUUUAAAACCCAACCAGUUAGGUGAAGUAGAAUGCGUUGAGCUCCCUCAGUAUCAGAGCUUGUGUGGGGAACUCUUCACUUUUCACCUAACCAAAACCAGACCUGCCUAGCCCUUAGAGUCCAGCCGGUUAGGUCAAGUAGAAUGCGUUGAGCUCCCUCAGUAUCAGAGCUUGUGUGGGGAACUCUUCACUUUUGGCCUAACCAAAACCAGACCUUCCAAUCGCAUACAUAUAUCUGUCUAAAUUCAUACAUAUAUCAAGUAAACUCAAUGUGAAUAUGUGAUUCUAAAUUCAUUUAAUUUCGCUUUCAAAUUUUUAAGAAUGAAGUGACUUAAUUGAAUUCAAUUUUGGUCGUUCCAAUCGCAUGAUUAAGUUUGAUUUCUAAAAGAUGUAGGCUGGAAAAGGAGGUGAGCUAACAUUGAAUAGAAGAACCAUAACAAGAGGGGCACUGGAUUCAUUGAGAAAUGGGCGAGAGAUUCCAUGGCUCCCAUUUCUUUAACUUUUGCAAUCGAUAGUAAUGUCGAUCUUGACAGGUAAUGUUAAUCUGUUUAAGUUGAGAGGUUUGGAAUGCUUCAUGAAAAUUAAGGUUGAUAUAGUCUUUAAUUUAAUGUUGGUUUUGUAAAAAAAAUUAAAGUCUGCUGAAUUUGAGAUUGGAUAUUGAAACAACUAUCUU